GCGGCGGUGGCUCAGUGGCUAGAGCGCUGCAUCAAUGUGUCUUGCAAACACAAGCAUUGUAGUGUUAUUACUCCGGACACAAGUCUGCAGUCAUACGGUAACACUGAAGAUGCAGAGAUCGUGAGUUCGAACCUCUCUCGCCGCA
rnacentral:tRNA from 1 species